rnacentral:rRNA from 1 species
AUUGAACGCUGGCGGCAGGCAUAACACAUGCAAGUCGAGCGGGGUGAUGGUGCUUGCACUAUCACUUCGCGGCGGACGGGUGAGUAAUGCUUAGGAAUCUGCGUAUUAGUGGGGGACAACAUUUCGAAAGGAAUGCUAAUACCGCAUAAGUCCUGCGGGAGAAUGCAGGGGAACGGCGGACAUUGCGAUAAUAGAUGAGUCUAAGUCGGGUUAGCUGGUUGGUGGGGUAAAGGCAUACCAGAGCGACGAUCUGUACCGGGUCUGAGAGGAUGAUCCGCCACACUCGGACUGAGGCACGGCCGAGAGUCCUACGGGAGGCAGCAGUGGGGAAUAUUGGACAAUGGGCGGAAGCCCGAUCCAGCCAUGCCGCGUGUGUGAAGAAGGCCUUAUGGUUGUAAAGCACUUUAAGCGAGGAGGAGGCUACUUUAGUUAAUACCUAGAGAUAGUGGACGUUACUCGCAGAAUAAGCACCGGCUAACUCUGUGCCAGCCGCCGCCGUAAUAC